GACGAACGCUGGCGGCGUGCUUAACACAUGCAAGUCGAACGAAGAGCGAUGGAAGCUUGCUUCUAUCAAUCUUAGUGGCGAACGGGAGAGUAACGCGUAAUCAACCUGCCCUUCAGAGGGGGACAACAGUUGGAAACUACUGCUAAUACCGCAUACGAUCUAAUCUCGGCAUCGAGGAUAGAUGAAAGGUGGCCUCUACAUGUAAGCUAUCACUGAAGGAGGGGAUUGCGUCUGAUUAGCUAGAUGGAGGGGUAACGGCCCAACAAGGCGAUGAUCAGUAGCCGGUCGGAGAGGAUGAACGGCCACAUUGGGACUGAGACACGGCCCAGACUCCUACGGGAGGCAGCAGUGGGGAAUCUUCCGCCAUGGGUGAAAGUCUGACGGAGCAACGCCGCGUGAGUGAUGACGGCCUUCGGGUUGUAAAGCUCUGUUAAUCGGGACGAAAGGCCUUCUUGCGAAUAGUGAGAAGGAUUGACGGUACCGGAAUAGAAAGCCACGGCUAACUACGUG
rnacentral:rRNA from 1 species